rnacentral:tRNA from 1 species
GGGGGUGUGUCGGAACUGGCAGACGAGCAUGGCUUAGGACCAUGUGGGCGCAAGCUCGUGAGAGUUCGAGUCUCUCCAUCCCCA